UGUCACACAUCCAUACUUUUCACUUUAGUGUUUUUAUUGGCGAGACUACCACAGUUAGACGACUUUUGAUUUUCUUAAAUACAAAACUUUAAACUAUUGCUUUUUUCCUCCGUAUGUGUAUAGUCUGGCGCGUAAUUCAAAAUAAUAUGGUUUUUAUUUAAAUAUAUUUAAAUGUUAACUAAAAAACACAAGCCAGGAACAACGGACGCCGUAGACCGAUUGAAGGAUAUUAUAAUUAUGUCGUAUACCUACAUUACGAUUGUCCUCUGCGAGUCGAUCGCGAUCAGGAGACACGUCUGUCCGACGGGCGGUGGAGGACAUCUUCCUCACACAUCAACCACGAUCAUUCGAGUAGAUUAUACGGGUGCCCGAGAAUUGGGCCACGACUAAUCUUCUUUCAAAAAGAUCAAUAAAAUAUGGCCCAAUUACCGAUCGCCCGAUUAUACGCCUGAAGUUGACGUAAUGAGACUUUCAACGGAGAUAAUAUAAUUUUACAUUUUUUGUUAUUAUUUAUUCACAGUGGUCGCAAGCGCCAAGCAGUCAGUAUAAUAUAUAGUAUAAUGGAUACCUGUACACACGUGGAUAGUUGUAGCCUACAACUAAUGUUUUUAACCUUUGGAAUGAUAAUUAAAUUACGU